rnacentral:misc_RNA from 1 species
AAGUCGUAAUAAGGUUUCCGUAGGUGAACCUGCGGAAGGAUCAUUAUUGAAUUUCAAGAGGGAUUGGUUGUUGCUGGCUUUUCGAAGUAAUGUGCACACCGUCUCUUCUUAGUUCUCACAUUCACCUGUGCACCUCUUGUAGACCCGAGACAAACUUAUCGAGGAAACUCGGAUGUGAGGGUUGCGGGCUUCCUCAGAAGUCGGCUUCCCUCUACUGACUCGCGUGUCUAUGUCUUUACAAACCCUUUAUAAAAAAUGUUAACAGAAUGUCAUACAACGGUUCGCCCUAAAAAGUGAGCUUAAAUUAAUAACAA